UGCAUGCCUCAGAAUCACUGCAUUGCAGGAAUCUGCGCAUGGCUCAUUACAUCAGACGUAAUCUGCCGCAAAAAUGUUGCGGUCUCCGCAAGAUUGGAUAACUUGGCGAAACGCCAAGCUAAUACAUGAACCAACGGGACGCUCUCUGUUUUGGCGGUGGGGUAUCCCCUCACCGUUAUGGGACGUCCGGCGAAUGAAUGAAAGUAAAACCAGCGCCUUCACAGGCAGUAACACCCAGAAGUGUUGACUCAAUUCAUUCCGUGCGAAAGCUG
rnacentral:rRNA from 1 species